rnacentral:ncRNA from 2 species
CUAAGUUGAUACCAACGAGGUGACCCGCAAGAAGCCCGGAUGCUAGGGCGUAAAGGUGGAAGCUGGUGUGAGUCCAGCGCUGUGCCGCAACUGUGACUGGCCGAUGAUCAGGCCGGAAGCCAGGAAGCCUGCCUCGUUGUUGAUCGUUUC